UACGGAGGGAGCUAGCGUUGUUCGGAAUUACUGGGCGUAAAGCGCACGUAGGCGGCUUUGUAAGUUAGAGGUGAAAGCCUGGAGCUUAACUCCAGAAUUGCCUUUAAGACUGCAUCGCUCGAAUCCGGGAGAGGUGAGUGGAAUUCCGAGUGUAGAGGUGAAAUUCGUAGAUAUUCGGAGGAACACCAGUGGCGAAGGCGGCUCACUGGCUCGAUACUGACGCUGAGGUGCGAAAGCGUGGGGAGCAAACAGG
rnacentral:rRNA from 1 species